rnacentral:rRNA from 1 species
UGGGGAAUAUUGCACAAUGGGGGAAACCCUGAUGCAGCAACGCCGCGUGAAGGAAGACGGUUUUCGGAUUGUAAACUUCUGUUCUUAGUGAAGAAUAAUGACGGUAGCUAAGGAGCAAGCCACGGCUAACUACGUGCCAGCAGCCGCGGUAAUACGUAGGUGGCAAGCGUUGUCCGGAAUUACUGGGUGUAAAGGGAGCGCAGGCGGGAGACCAAGUCAGCUGUGAAAAGCUACGGGCUUAACCUGUAGACUGCAGUUGAAACUGGUUUUCUUGAGUGAAGUAGAGGUUGGCGGAAUUCCGAGUGUAGCGGUGAAAUGCGUAGAUAUUCGGAGGAACACCGGUGGCGAAGGCGGCCAACUGGGCUUUAACUGACGCUGAGGCUCGAAAGUGUGGGGAGCAAACAGGAUUAGAUACCC